UGAAUACGAGACGCUAAGGCGUCGAAGUAGUGUAUGUCAUACUUCCAAGAAAAGCUUGCACUGUCAUAGAUAAAAAACGCCUGUACCAUAACCGACACAGGUGGGUAGGUAGAGUAUACUAAGGGGCGCGAGAUAACUCUCUCUAAGGAACUCGGCAAAAUAACUCCGUAACUUCGGGAGAAGGAGUGCCUUAUUCGUAAGGUUGCAAUAACAAGAUCCAAGCAACUGUUUAUCAAAAACACAGGUCUCCGCUAAGUCGUAAGACGAUGUAUGGGGGCUGACGCCUGCCCAGUGCCAGAAGGUUAAAGAAGUUGGUUAGCAAUUGCGAAGCUGAUAACUGAAGCCCUGGUGAACGGCGGCCGUAACGAUAACGGUCCUAAGGUAGCGAAAUUCCUUGUCGGGUAAGUUCCGACCCGCACGAAAGGCGUAAUGAUUUGGAUACUGUCUCGGAGAGGGGCUCGGUGAAAUAGACUUGUCUGUGAAGAUGCGGACUACCUGCACCAGGACAGAAAGACCCUAUGAAGCUUUACUGUAACUUGAAAUUGAAAUUGGACUUUAUUCGCGCAGUAUAGGUGGGAGGCGUUGAUUAUAAUCUUGUGGGAUUAUUGGAGCCAUCAGUGAGAUACCACUCUUGUAAUGUUAGAUUUCUAACUUUGAAUCAUUAUCUGGUCAAAGAACAGUUUCAGGCGGGCAGUUUGACUGGGGCGGUCGCCUCCUAAACGGUAACGGAGGCGUACAAAGGUUUCCUCUGAACGGUUAGAAAUCGUAUCUAGAGUGUAAAGGCAUAAGGAAGCUUGACUGUGAGACCUACAAGUCGAGCAGGGACGAAAGUCGGUCUUAGUGAUCUGACGGUACUGAGUGGAAAGGCCGUCACUCAACGGAUAAAAGUUACUCUAAGGAUAACAGGCUGAUCUCCCCCAAGAGUUCACAUCGACGGGGAGGUUUGGCACCUCGAUGUCGGCUCAUCGCAUCCUGGGGCGGUAGUACGUCCCAAGGGUUGGGCUGUUCGCCCAUGAAAGCGGUACGCGAGCUGGGUUCAGAACGUCGUGAGACAGUUCGGUCCAUAUCCGGUGUAGGCGUUAGAAUAUUGAGAGGAGCCUUCUUUAGUACGAGAGGACCGAGAAGGACAUACCUCUGGUGUACCAGUUAUCGUGCCAACGGUAAACGCUGGGUAGCUAUGUAUGGAGUGGAUAACCGCUGAAAGCAUCUAAGUGGGAAGCCCACCUCAAGAUAAGUAUUCGC
rnacentral:rRNA from 1 species